AAAUGGCCAUUAAGAGUACUUUUGUGAUUACAUCUGGACCUUUCCUCUGAACACGAAAUUUUGUUUGGUUGCGGUUGGACAUCCACAAGUUAGUUUUUAUCCCCUGCUAGACUGAAUUUUGAUUUCAGACACUCUGGUAUCAUCAUGGCUUUUUCAAAAUGUACUGCUGAAAUGUAUCUCAUUUAUUUGUUGCAUGUGCUUUUUCUAGUUCGAAUUGCGAUUAUCUAAGAUCACUUAUCAAUUGGAUGAGGGUGACUGGGAGUUUUGGUUAUUUUAUGGUCUCUUUUUAGAAGUUUGUAAUUGUAUGUAUAUCUUAAUUGUUUUUUCUUUCUUUUUGUGCAUCUCUUAUAUACUUCUGGCCAGCCGAUUAGGGCUACGCCAGUUUUGUUUUCCGGUUGAAUCUAAUUUCAGUUGAAGCUUUCAACCCUUGUCUCUUGUGACAAUUGCAUCUUAUCUGGUCAGAAGAUAAAAGAGAGGCUGAUUUGGACUUCUUGCACUCUAUUCAACAGGACUUGGUGAAAGAGCAAAGAGUAUGCUAGCAAAGCCACUGUUUAAACACAGAAAAAAGUUCACAUUAAUGACCCCAUGCUAAGAGGAAAGUUCCAUGUUAAGGGCCUCUAUCAAGCUCUAGCAGUUGCUGCAACACGUCUCCAAGACGAUGCUGGCACCCGACCAUUGAUGGGUGAUGUUGUAACCACUCUUGAGUAUCUAGACAAGCUGAGAAAUGAUGAGAAAGGUAUUACAGAUUCAUCCAAAUAAAAUACAACUAAAAGAAAAUCUCUACUUCUAUUUGUCUUUCUUUUUCGGGUACAUGAAAACAUUGUACAGAUCAAAUAAGUACAAGAGUAGACUGUAGUGUCAAUUAUGUAUUAGAAGUUCACAGACUUUUAUCUACAUUGAUCAAUCCUUCUUUCUUGUGUGAGAAGUUUCGGCUGAGAGAUGGAGAGAGAGACUGCUGAGUUCUGUGUUCCCCAACUCCAAGGCAUUUCUCGAAGAAAGCAGAAUUACGAAGAUUAUUAUCAGAUGAAGCAAUCGGGAAGCACCAGAAACAGCACAAUGUUAAAAAAAAGCUGCAUAAUGGAUCCUUAUGCACAACAUAGGGGAACCUGACAAGAGUAAUCUUAUCAUCAUAGGAAAAAGGCAUUGUUGAGCCAUAGAACAAACUGGCUCAGAAAGCUUGGGAGCAUCAUCUAAAUGUGCAAGUUAUUCUUGAGGGUUCUGUAAUUGUAACCAGGAAUUCUGUUCAGCCGAUUCCUUUCUGAAACUUCAACAACAGAGCACAUGUUUGGCAGGUGAGAACCAGUGGCUCUUCUCCCCUUCUUCCUUUUCCAUGUCAUUAGCAAGAGCCAGAAACUAGGCCUGGAGUGACCGCUGGUGGAAGCCAUGUCCACAAUUUGUCCCUGAGGUUUUUGUGAGCUUCCACAUGGGUCUAUUUCGAGCUUCCCGAAGUACUCAAUUUCCUUUCUGACAAGUGAUCCGACGGUGCCCCGUGUGCCUAUCGAAACCGGAGCAAUUGCAGCCAUUUUCUCGGGAAACUUGGUGGAAUUGGUAUUGGCUUUAUACUGCAUUUUGUAAGAUGACAUGAAUACCUUAACCUUCGAUGGGAGGCUAGAGCAUGUUUCAGAGCAACAUCAACACUCGCACCAUCCCGGAACAAUGAGUCAUACAAUUCACAGACAAACUUUGACAGUUCCUCCUCAUCUUCAUCCCAA